CCUUACCUACGGGGGGCAGCAGUGAGGAAUAUUGGUCAAUGGGCGAGAGCCUGAACCAGCCAAGUCGCGUGAGGGAGUACUGCCCUAUGGAUUGUAAACCUCUUUUGUCGGGGAGCAAAAGACGCCACGCGUGGCGUUCCGAGAGUACCCGAAGAAAAAGCAUCGACUAACUCCGUGCCAGCAGCCGCGGUAAUACGGAGGAUGCGAGCGUUAUCCGGAUUUAUUGGGUUUAAAGGGUGCGCAGGCGGAAGAUCAAGUCAGCGGUAAAAUUGAGAGGCUCAACCUCUUCGAGCCGUUGAAACUGG
rnacentral:rRNA from 1 species